CAUGACUUACAAAAGCAUAUACUGAAAAGAGAUGAUCUCUCCCCUAAGAAACAUAUAACCACAAAACACAAGAGUCAUUUUGUUUAUGUCAGCUUCCCCCUGACUGCUCUGCAGCCUCUAACAGAGCACUGUGGUCACCCCUUCACCUUUAAAAACCUGGCACAAAUUUGAGGCUGUAUGAACAAUUUGGAGCUAUUACUGAUCAGCCACAGUGGCUGGAUCCUCUGCAGUUCUGUGUGCACUCUCCAUAUCAAAGUCAGUCUUCGCUUGAAUGACCUGAGAAUGUGUCAUUUCUGAGUGAGAAAGAGGUAAAGGAAUCUGCAUAUUUGUUUGAGAGGGGGGCUAUGCUCAGAGGGAAUAGGAGGAAUUCAGGCAAGACUUCCACCCUAGUUGGUCAAUGCCUUCUAUAGUUUUAACAAUUUAUCAACCUGUGCUUCAUAAGUGAUCUUUUCAAAGAAAACUCUGUCCCAACAACCUUGGCACUCUCAUUUGAAGGGCCAUGCUGCUUCCCUAUCUAAACACAGCAGUAACAUUGCUACGGGCCAUCUUUAAUAGAUUGACACAGGCUUAAAAACUGUCAGUGUGAAUAAAUUCCUGGCACCUUCAUAUCCUUUCAAUUUGUUCUAACAUUUUCUACCAGCUUUUCUCUCCUUUGUCCUUGCUCCAACAGCAGGUCCUCUUCACAUUUCAGCCUUCAUUCGCCUGUCAAAACAAGAUGAGAUCUGUUUGUCUUCAAUCUUCAAGCCACAAAGGAGCAAAACACAAAGCAAUCACACUUUCACGGCUACAAAAUACAUUCUUGUCCUUCAGAAAACUUUUCCUUCACAUCUAAAUUCUCACAGCCACGUGACAAAGAAUAGAGAGCACUUGCAGAUGGAAAGCUGGGUUUGAAAUAGGAAGCAAAUCUCCUCUUUAGAGCAAAGGAUGAAAUGGGACAGAAGAAUCUUCAAGUGCAGGAACUCUCCCUGGCUCCAGACUGUGAAGAACAUCACCAGUACCUCCAGAUGCAUGCAGGCAGACAUGAUCCAUCAGGCACACCUCACUCAGCAAUGCAGCUCUUUCUCAUCCCGUGCUCCAGGGACCACUGCACCAACCACCACCACCACCUCCCCCCCGCCCCAGGUGCUCUGCUGGUUUCCUGCAACAUUGCGCAAUGUCACACUUCCCCCAGAACACAGAACUGCUCAAAUUCUGGAUGUGAUUCUCUACUCCAUCGACUUUUUAUUUUACUGUAAGGGGCACUAUCUCCAUUGACUACAUCAGCUGUCAUGUCGGAUUGUGAUUAAAUCCAAUAGCUCUUUCUCAGAACUAAAACCAAGACAACUUCUUUCCAUUCUCAUUUCACAUUUCACACGUUUUCUUAAUACCCUUCAAUCUAUCUGAUGUUCAGCCCUCCAUCUCCUGCUUCAGCUAUCUAUUUUUCUCCUUCCUCUAUCAUUUCCUCCUUCUCCGUCCCUUCCUCUCCCUCAUACUCUCCAGUUCACAGGCUCUGUGUUUUCUUGAAAGGAAGCAGAAGUAGUGAAAAGAUAGUGACGGUCACAACCCAGCAUCUCUGAAAGGAAACCCAGUGAGACAAACAUGUGUGACUUGUGACUUUCUCAUGGCUUGUUUCUAAGAAAUUAUUUCCAAGUAGCUGUGCUCUUACCAGCAUAAGGACAGAGAAGCAUCCUUUUAUGCCAUACUACCUAGCUGUUAACACAGUUGUAUCUGAUGUAGCACUUUCUUCUGCACUCAAGCAAAAUAAUUAAUGUGUCCUUGAUUAUCAUGCUGUGCAUACUAUUUUUCCUUAUCCUGUAGUGAUCCAACUUUCUCCUGAGCCAGAACAUAACAUCUGUGUCUGUAUGCUGGAUACUACUCUAACUGAAGCCCAGGCCACUGUCCUAUUGCCCAUCUCCAUCUCCCAGGUUCAGCAGCCAAGCCCCUCCAGACUCUUCACAAAACACCAGCCAGGCAUUUACUUUGCGUGGCUAUAGUUAAAAUUCAGUCACAUUCAGGAAUGGAUGUGCCUCUGAGUACUCUGCAUGUUGUAGGACAGUUGUGGUCAUCAUGAUAGUAUGAAGUCUGCAUUGGGAUGCUCUCUGAAAGGAGAAAAUAAAGACAAAUUGGGCACGAAGCUAGUAGUAGGA
rnacentral:lncRNA from 1 species